CUCGACCCCUUUCAGAGAAAUCUGGGAAUGAGAGAAGGAACCGGCCCAGGAGUGAUUUAUGACCUGCUGUCUGUGUCCUGCCUGAGGAAGCAUGGCUCUGGCUGUUUGAAGCAGACCCAGACUGGGAUCCUCAGAGAUUGGAAGGAGUGAUGGGGACCCUUCAGGAAAAUGUCACCGACCGUUGACUCUCAGCUCAGCUCGAAGCUGCUGAUGAGGGGGCUGCAAAUGGACUGAGCUGCGUGAAGCGGUAAAAAACAAACCUGCUUGCAUGGAAGGAAUGUUCCUAGCCAUUUGAGGCUGAAUAUAGGGUGGGUAUAAAUAGGGACCAGACUCCCAUAGACAGAAGGAAGCUGGCAUGCCCGGGCUGCCAUGGAGCAUUGAUGGGUCAUGGUGGCAACGUUGGAAUAUCAGAGACGCUGGAAUAUCACACUGGAAUAUUUCGAGGUCAAAACAACAGACACAUCAAGGCAGGGUCAGAAUGGCACAGUCAACCCCUCCUGCAUCUCCAAGCCAGAGGAUGCUGUUGUUUUAGGCUGACAUUGUUCAGAGCCUUUGGUGGCAGCACAGUGAGGAGGAUCACUGGGCAGGGAGACAUACCCUGGAGGUGCCUGAUGCCAAAAUGAGGAUGUAAAUCCUGCUCUGCCCCAGGUGUAAGACCUUGGGCAAAUUAGCUGACCUCUCUGAACCCGUCUUUUUCUUAGUGAGAGGUAGACAGGAAUCUUGUGAUCAUGAUGAGCAUGUAUACCAAGUGUUUGGCAUGGUGCCUGCCCCGAGCGAACGCUCAAAAGAGCAGGCUCUGUUAACAUGUGCCAGGGACUCUGCCCACACUCUAUACACGUCAUUUUACAGUAUGGGGCCCAGGGCAUAGAAGGAACUUGAGAAAUAACAAUAGUUUCCCCUCUUCUCUCUGCUCUGCUCCUGCCUUAAAGUUGUAUUUACCUCGUAACCUGUCCUCUUUCUCUCCUUCUCUCCUAAGUCUUUGCACGAUUUUGCUCCCUCUUCCCACUUUCCCUGCCCUCUGCUUUAUUUCCUGGCUAAUUUUGACUCUUCUUCAGGUCUUGCAUUUCCUCUUAAAAGCCUUACUUGUGUUCUCUUUGCCCACUGGCCCCCAAGGCAGGCCAGGUGCCCACUCUGUCUGCUGGUUUGUGUUUGAGUCCUCACAGUGCCCCAGGAGUUCCUACCCACCUGUGAACUGCUUAAAGCCAGGGACACCGCCUCUCAUCUCUCCAUCUCCUUCACCUGCUACAGAGCUCAGCAUACAGUAAGCGCUCCAUAAAUGUUUCUUCAGUGAACAUGAUCACACUGUCUGAUUCCUGGCUUCUUUUUUUGAGGCUUGAACCUACACAGAAUGUCCUGUCAAAUGUCCCAGAAAACAUGACUUUGAAAGGGACAGGGUGGCUGGCUCCUGUGUUGCAACACAGCACUUCUUACCUUCGCCUCUCACUAGUCUGAUUGGCCCAUCUUUCAAUUACCAGGAUGCUUAUCUUGCUCACUCAUUAGCCUAUAUCCCUUAGCUGGCAUUGAGUGGACAACAUGGUUGAGAUAUGCGAGCUCUGGAACUGAAGUGGGCUGCAGUCAAAUCUUGCUGGGAUUGGUUUUUGGAGGAAGGGAGGCUUGGGAUUAAGUGGCUGAGUGUAAGUGGGGCAUCCUAUUCCAGCACUGCCUGCUGCUGCUAGAGAGAGCCCUGGUGCAGCUUUGAGUCACAGCUGCUUUUCCCAGGACUUCAAGGCACACAGACACUAUUUUGUAAGCUUCAGAUAAGAAUGCAAGGCCCGCCCUCAUUUCCACAUACCCAAAUCAUGCCCAUUCUUCCAGGCACAGCUCAUAUGAGAUGUGACGUUGCACCUGAAGCUCAGAGCAGAGUGUCGGGCAUCCAUUAGUAAAAGUUUGAUGCUAAUACUAAGCCCCCAGCUCCAGAAGCCCUCCUGCGCUCCUACCUUUCAUUCCUGUAUCCUCACAGUUGUAGUUCGACCUCUCUUUGGGAGCCUCACAAUGUAUCCAACAGGUAGAGUAUCACCUUGCUGAUUGUGUGAUCUUAGAAGAGUUCUCGACGUGCUUUUUGAGUCUCAUUAUCUUCAUCUGUAUAAUGGAAUGUCAAUUCAGCCUCUUUGGGUUGCAAGUGAACAAAAUUUGACCUGAAUUUGUUUAAGCAAAAAGGAUUCUCAUUGGCUUGCAUGGCCCAAAAUCUAGGGACAGGACUAGUUGGGAUCAGGGGUCAUAUAGUGUCAUUGGAACUGGCUUCCUUCCAUCUGUGUGGACUCCAGACCAGGGCUCUGCAUAAGAGUGUGAUAAUUGUAGUAGUUCCAGCCUUUAAUCCUCCUAUGCUGAGUUCAUGGGAGUCAGUUGGAGGCCCCAGUAGGGCGCUCAAAGUCGCGGUUUGGGUUGCAUGGGUCUAGUUCAUUUGACUGCUUAUAGGCUCAUCCCCGAGCCCACCCCUGUGGCAAAGAGAUGAAAUAUCUAAUUGGCUGAGACUUGGACUCAGAUAUGGUAUGGGACAGGGGCCUGGAGAAUUCUCUGAGCCUGUCUGAGUGUGAUGGAAAUGCCAUCACCCAGGGCGACACUGAGGAACCCAGCAUUAAAUGGCAGCAUUACUAACAGCCAACUCAGACAUGAUAUUCACCUGGGCCUUGCCCUUAGUUUUAACUUAUCAGAUUGUCACAGCAACCCUAUCAGAUAUGUGCUGCUGUUAUUUACAUUUGAUGGAGGAUGUUACUAAGGUACCCCCUUAGUUUCCCCUUAGGCACUGCCUUAGAGGGCUUUUCCAGGGCCACAUAGCAGGUGUAGUACAAGAUGUAAAUCCAGGCAUGGCUGCAAAGUUUGCACACACAACUCCUUUCCUUUAUUAUGUAUUGUAGGAGGGAGCCAGUCAAGAAAUGAAAGGUAACAAAACAGAUAAGUAACAUAUAAUAUAUUACGAUGUAAUGUAGAGAUACAAAGCACAGAUCCACUGUUGGGCAACCAUGAUGGGCCACCUGCCAAGGAGAUGGGAGAACCAGGGCCUGGAAAGGAGGAGCAUCUGCGAAGCACAGCCUGAACCAUGAAGCCUCCCCAGGCAUCAAGUCACCCAGGGGGCUGUGGACUGCGGGGGAGUGUUGUGGGGUGAGGAGCCUGGGGCUCAGACCAGCCUGCGGUAAGCAUCCUCCUACACCAAGGAGCCAAAAUGACUGCACAGUGCGAGGGCGGCGAUGCAGGCUUGGAAAACAAAACCCGCCUCCUCUCUGUCUCCUCUGAUGGGAAGCCAGGGCCAAUGGAGGGGUCUGGUUCAGGGCCCAGAGCCACCAAAACCACUUGGCUCUUGAAUGAUCUGACUUGAGGGCUAACCUAAGCCUUGUGAAAUCCCAAGAGAAUAACCUCAGGUUCUUUAAUUCUAGUGCAGACUUUAGAUGCUGUUGGAAGAGAAGAAAAGGAAAUAGUGACCCAAGUCAGUAAUUGUACUUUCCAGUAGUCCCAAAGCAUAGUUUAUAUGAGCAUCCUAUAAGAGGCCACUGGCAUCUUAAUAAAGGUAGUUAAUAGUACACAUUGCUAGUCAGUAACAGCCACACCUUGCACCCAUUUGAUAGAACCCCAAGGGUCAGAAGAUGAUCUACUGAAUAUGGCCCAGCAGGGUAACAGGAACCGAGGGGUCCUUGAAGACAGCGUCCAGCCAGGGCAUCCAAUCUGGAAUUUCCCCUCACCUACAGAUCUCUGAGUAAGAUAAAUAUUUCAUUUUGCAAGCUCUGUGUUUUGUUACUUGCAGCUAAGAGCAUUCUAACUCACAUAAUUUCUUCAGAGACACUUCUGUAAUAUGCCUACUUCUGAAUGAACUCAUGCUUCCCACACUACCCCUUGAAUACUUCUUUUACGGAGUUUACCAUUGCCUAUUUGUCUUACAUCUGUCAUACAUCUAUGAGCUCUUUGAAGACAGG
rnacentral:lncRNA from 1 species